CGCGCGCGGAGGCCCUGCGGGGCCCGGGCUCCGGAGGAAGGGCGGGCUCGGCGGCGCCCCCCUGGCGACAGAGCGAGGAAGGGCGGCGGGGGCCGGCGCCGCGCAGAGGACGCCGCUGCGUCCCGGGGCUCACCGCGGGCGGGAGUUUGAGGACUGAAGCGGAGAAAUGCGGUCCCGGUUCGAGACGCUGUGCCACGCGGAACCUGAAUGUGCGUGUCUUCGCGGCUUCAGCUCCGAGGACGGCCGGGGGAACCACCGCGUCCCCUCCGGACCUUCCGCGCGAGCUUCUGCCGUCGCGCGCGGGCGCCCGCUGUGGAUUUUUCUGGCUGGCCUUGGCCACUCGGGGCUCCCAGCCGCGGGCAAAGCUGAGGUGCGACCUGGACGGAACAAGGGUCCCGGAGCCGUGAGCGCCGAGGGGGAAGGCCGGAGGAGAGCGGCCCCGGCCGGAGCGCGCGCUGUAGCCAGCUUUCCGCCGGGCGAGGCCGCUGCGGAAGGAACCUGCAAAUACGGCCGCGCCUUCGGUUCAGCGGGCUGCCUGGAACCCAGGACCGAGUGUAAAGGAAAUCGAAGGCUAAGCUCAUCACGUAUAUUUUUAGAACCUCCCUUCUUCCAGGAAUCUCUCCUCUCCACCUCCUCCACCAGUAGAUGUACGCCGGAAAACGCUUCACCUCCAGCCCAGCAGCGAGAAGAGAAGACCAGAAGUGUGGGGGUCCGGGAUAUCCGCUUUCGGGCCUCGCCCCCAGCGACCUCACUUCCGCCCAGCAGGCCCCUCCCCUCGAAGACUCCCCCACCUCCACUUGAGCCGCAGGCUGCGGACCGAGCCCCUAGCACGUCGGCCGGAGACCCGGCUAAGGCGUAAACGGGCACGGUGUCAACGUAUUCCCUGUAGCUGGGCGCUCCCCUCCUACCCACGGUUGGAUGACCACGGGGCCCGCGAAACCCCCGCUCUGCGGGUGGACCCCAAGUGAGCAGGUGGGCGAGGGGAGUCGUCGCCUCCACGGGUCCCGCCCCUCCAGCCCGCGGACCGCGGCCCUCACCGCCCGGGCUCUGCACAUUCAAUGCCGCUGAGUUUCGGGUUCAGGAAGCGGUUUCAGGGGCGCCGGGCCUUCGCGGUCGUCCCAGCCGGCCCUGGACGCUCAGCGCCCCUAUCUUUGAGUCCACGUGGCCAAUCUCCCCCGCCGCUGGCCGCGUGGCCUAAUGGAUAAGGCGUCUGAUUCCGGAUCAGGAGAUUGAGGGUUCGAGUCCCUUCGUGGUCGACGUUUUUCCUUCCUGUGCUACUAGGCGGAAGGAGAUUAAACUGAACGACGGUUAAGUCCGGUGUGUGUGACGUUUGCCUUCUUACUGCUGCCCGGGGGAGGGGGCGUCACUAAGGAUCUGACUUCCGGGCCGCACGGGGGAAGUCAAGUCAUUGCAGGGGGCGGGGCACUACAAUUGGUUCCGAGUCCCUGCAAAAUAAUAAGGAGCUGAGAUGAGAAGGAAGAGAGCGGAGGGUGCCCCCCGUGCGCGGUGUGCCUGGCCCGCGGGAGGCCCCGUCUGCCCUCGGCACCGACGUGAGCAUGAUAACGACCUCUGACUUUGCCGCAGCACAGGUCGACAUCCGCUGACGGCGCACACGGUGCCUGCGUCACACCACCACGAGCCUUAUCAAUAUUCCCAUUUCACGGAGGCAGAAACCGAGACCUAAAAAGGUUAGUUUCUCGUCCAAAGCUGCAUAACAACAGGACCCACCAGCUGUGAGGACCCCCAUCCAGAAUGCCGGGGUUUGAAGAUGCCCACAAAACUCACAUUGGAAUUUUACCCCCAUCGUAAGGUAGUACAAGGUGGGACUUGGUUGGCUUUCAGGAGGUGAGUCGGCCCGAGGGCUCUCGUGGAUCAGCAGGUCAGUGGGUCCGUGCCUGUCCGGAGGGCAGGUCUGUCAUGCAAGCCAGUUUGUUCCUGCCUGUGCCCUCUUGCCGUUUGGUGCCCUAUGCACACUGGGAUUCAGCAGUCUCCCGGCCAGCAAGAGGACUCACUGGACUCGGCCUUGAGCCUGGAGCACCUGGCCUCCACCCACGAGCAGGCUAAGCUGUUAUUCUUCAUGCAGUACCCAUUCAGUGGUUUUAUAGCAAUGACAGCAACAAAAAGGACACAGACCUGUGAAAUAGCACAACAGAAACAAAAUUCACUUCUAUGGUGAUAGCAUAUUGCUGUGCAUGUUCUGGUGGUUAAAUCUCGGCUCAGGCAGUAUUCUUCUCUGAGUGAAUCCAAUAAAGAUCCAGCUGCCAUGUGGUGGGCUUGUGGCCUGGAUGUUAACUGGGUAUGGUCAGGCUGUUACAGUUGAGUGGGGCAAAAUAGUCCAGGUUCUUGGGCACACGAGGAAAAAAUUGCCAAGUGUGCACCUCAUAGUAAGUAGUAAGUAGUAAAUGUUUAUUGAAGAUCACAGGUUGGUUACAGGAAUAGGCAGAAGGAAGAAGAACCCAGGAAGAGAACUCCUCAAGAGCUUUCGAUGAGCCUCAACACAGCUCAGGCUUUCAGUGUGUAAGGGUCUGACACCCCUAACUCCAGGUGCUUCCCACUGUGGUCAGACACCUCUGACUCCAGGUACCUCUCGUUUUGUUUCUCACUGGUGUCAGAACUAAUGUUCUGCCACCUCCAACAUCAUAACUUCCUAAGUUUAAACAUGGAUAAUCGCCAGGCAUGGUGGUGCGUGCCUCUAAUCUCAACAUUCAGGAGCUGAGGCAGGAGGACUGCCAUGAGUUUGAGGGCAGCUGGGCAUUCUUCAGAAUGUGACCUUAUUUGGGUUAAGUUAAACUAGUAGCUCCAAUUCAAUAUAUAACAAGUGUGUUUAGAAAGGGGGUAGGUUUGGACCUAAUGACAGUCACACACACAG
ensembl:lncRNA